UACGAAGGGGGCGAGCGUUGUUCGGAAUUACUGGGCGUAAAGGGCGCGUAGGCGGCGAACCAAGUCAGAUGUGAAAGUCCUGGGCUUAACCUGGGGACUGCAUUUGAUACUGGUUUGCUUGAAUUCGGGAGAGGAUAGCGGAAUUCCCAGUGUAGAGGUGAAAUUCGCAGAUAUUGGGAAGAACACCGGUGGCGAAGGCGGCUAUCUGGACCGACAUUGACGCUGAGGCGCGAAAGCGUGGGGAGCAAACAGG
rnacentral:rRNA from 1 species